UACGUAGGUGGCAAGCGUUAUCCGGAAUUAUUGGGCGUAAAGAGCGCGCAGGUGGUUGAUUAAGUCUGAUGUGAAAGCCCACGGCUUAACCGUGGAGGGUCAUUGGAAACUGGUUAACUUGAGUGCAGAAGAGGGAAGUGGAAUUCCAUGUGUAGCGGUGAAAUGCGUAGAGAUAUGGAGGAACACCAGUGGCGAAGGCGGCUUCCUGGUCUGUAACUGACACUGAGGCGCGAAAGCGUGGGGGAGCAAACAGG
rnacentral:rRNA from 1 species